rnacentral:lncRNA from 1 species
UAGUAUAUACUUCUGAAGUACACAGCAAAACAUUUUUCAAAAGGUAGAUAACAUUUUCUUGCCAGCACCCCUUUAAAAGCACCUCACUUGCACCACUUGCCAAAGUGGGAUGUAAAAUCCCUUGACGUGCAGCCAGAGAGCUAACACAAAACCAACGCCUCUCGCCUGCCCCUUCCCGGCCCAUCGCUGCUGUCUUCCCAUGGUCACCCCAGCUAGGAGCACACGGCAUUUCAGUCAAAGAUAAAAAAACAGCAGCACUGCCCUGCGUGACAGCUGCCUCAGCAGAAAACAGCGCCAGAAGCCGGGGAAAGGAGCGGGCAGCUUACCUACUCAGCUUUCGUGUACAUGAAGAACCAUUCCAUGAAUUUGCCCUUGAAGUGCUCCUGGAUAUCUCAGGCGAGAGAUUCUCCUUAUUUUCUGCUGAAUACCAUUUGAAAGAUGAAGGCUCACCACACAAUCUGUGUCCUGUGGAGUCAAUGUACCGCUGUGUCAGGUCCUUGCACCCAGCUGUGAGACAAAGCUGUUCACACCACUGCCACGUGGAACUCCCAAGCGCACAUCUGAUACACUAUUUUUUACUCUAGUUCUGGUAACAACAUUCAGUUGGCUUUUAUUUCCUUGAGCAAUCUUCUCUUUUCCAGUGUCCUGUGGCCAAGGGGCCCUCUCUAGGUCUUUCAACAUUUGACAUUCUGCUUAAAAUAAUCUGUUUGAUCACUCAACUCCACUCUUUAUCUCCAAGGCAAAAAAGUACCAUUCCUAUUCCCAUACUUCUGUACAGAAGAUUGCUGUGUUACAAGACAUGUGAUGCAUGCUAGCAGUUUAGCUCCUUUAUCCCCUGCUCCAAGACAGAUCUACAAGUGUCAUGCAAACAGUUGAUGCUGCAAGGAGAAACUACUGCCCAGUUUUUCAACUGACAAUAUAAGGAACUUCUUUCACAGUGCUGUCUUGCAGAAAAGAAAAAACAAACCUUAUGAUUCUUUUAGUGUUGGGAAAUGCUGGAUUUUAAACAAGAACUUUGCCAUGUUAUUUAUUUCAUUUUUAGAAAUAGACACUUCCUGAAUCACAAGUUGAGUUUCCUUUAACAACUCUGAACAUUCGUCACUGUGACCUCUUCUCCCAGUGGCUGGUGCAGAAAGUCAUAACAAACAUAACACAUGCUUUUCUUCCAAAAAUAUAGAGCAGAAAUUAUUUUUACAUGGUACAAAAGUUAUUCUCAUUUUAUUUAUGGAGUUGAAUGAAACAAAAACAAACAUCCAUGGCUGUUGUCACACAGUGCAAGCCUCAGUGGUAAGGUAAGAAGACAGGUUGAGGUGUGAGGGUUUAUAAUACAAUGCCAUUGAAACAAACCCAGCAAAUCUUAGAUGCAAGCAGUGAAUCCAAUUUAUUUCUGUAACCUCUGCAACCACACUAACUGAAGUCAGCCGGGCUGCGUGGACAGCAGCAUCAGACACUGGUUUUGGGACAGGUCUGAAUUUUGAGAGCAAUACCAAACAAACAACUGAUUGUGAAGCCACCCAGUGCCCACAUACACCUCACCUGCACACUGAUCCAGUGGCCUCUCCACGCACUGAGCUCCACCUGGAGUUGGCAGAUUGAGCACACAACCACAGCAGGGCUUGGCUCAAACACUGUAAAAUGCUACCGUCGGCACUGUGUACUUAGGACCUGGAAGAGCAAUGUCCAUUAAUUCUUCUACUGAGACACAGAAAAAUUGACUAAAAAAUUCAUAAGGCACCAUUGAUUCAACCUGUUUUGUAUUAUUCUUUUUUAACACUUAAUAGUGAAACAAAUACUUUAAUACUGAUCAUAUUGUAAAUAGCUACUGCUACAUGAAGCAAUAUAUUGAAUGAUAAAAUGCUGCGUUGUUCUGGAAUAUAUCUAGGGACUUUUACAGCAAAACAUAUAAGUGGAAAUGCUGUUGUUAUGUGAGAAAAAAUGCUCCUUUCUGCAGUAUUAAGCUAUUUUACAUGUACGCCAAACAUCUAUUCUGAAGAGUUUUCUAGAGUAAAAAAUAAUUUCUAAAACCUAAGCAGCUCAGGAUUCUUGGCUUGUUAACCUGGGGCCUUUUACAUAGCACAUUUUAAAGUGAAACUGAAGCUGGUUUUCCAAGUCUUUGGUAGUGGUCCAGAUUUCUGGUCAAAAAACCUUGCUGAAACAAUCAAAUACAGGAUAUUUUGAAUUAUACAGAGUAUUGGAAGAACACUGGGCAGCAUUUUCAUUGACUUACCAAAGUAAAACAGUUAUGUUGGAAGCAGGUAAGUUAUAAAAAAUAUCAUUUCUGGAGGGCUGGGUUUUUUUUUUGGCUACAUAGCUAUUUGGAUAUUAACAAAGAUUUGGCAAGUCAAGGUACUGAAAAUACUGUAUUCUUAAAUUCAAACUAUUGUUCCUUAGAAAAGUAUUAAGUGCUUCUGUUUUAAAAUAUGAACACAAUAAUUUAUCCUUUAAGUUAUUAGCCUAAAAAUCUUAUUUGGACUUCUAUUCACAAAAUAAUAUCCCAAAGAGACAGGCACUUUAAGUGACAUCCAUAAAAUACAUAUACAAAUUCAGCAUUGUGCCAGGUUUGAUCCCAAGGUGCACCUGUCACACAGAGGUCCCACCAGGAUCUGUUUAAGGAACUCUUACAGCCACGAUCCUGCAACUGGAUGCAGCUACAUCCCUGCGCCUGCGCAUUUCAUUGCAGGUUCACAACCAUGAACAGGAACUACAAAUAGGUCACUAGAUACAAAAAUGUAAAAAACAUGCUGUAAAAAUGCUGUCACAGCUAACAAGAUUUUGUAAACAAACACUGAAAAGACCAAAUUAAAUUUGAUCUGGCUAAAUCCAACUCUAGUCUCAUCUCCUUCAAUGUGAUUGCCAGGCAGAGAGCGGAUCUGCCCCUCCCUGCUCACAGACAGAGCAAAAAGCCCUAUUCACAGACAUUUCAGCAGGGUCCAGACUCUCUUUGGCUAAAUUCCCUAGAUUUUCAAGGACUGACCUCAUUCUAGCCACAGAGUGUACUUAGGAUAUCUCCCAUGCUAGAGAAACAUUUUCUUAACCUACAUGACUAGUUUCUAUGUUUUAUUUUGGGUUUUUUUGAGCAACACCCUGUGAAGCACAGCUGCUGACACAGGCUUGGUAGAGAUCCCAAGGAAAACACUGAAGAAACAUACUGCUAAUGAGACUGAGAGGAUAUUUUUCAGAGGUCCGAUUAAUAAAGAGCUAUCAUUGACCA